rnacentral:lncRNA from 1 species
CUGCUUUCAUUCCUUCCCUCAUUUACCAAAUAUUGAUUUAGAACCUACUGUUUGACAGGCUCUGAGCAGCUAGUGAUCAACAUGGCAGACAAGGUCUCUGCUCUCAGAGAGCUUAUAUUCUGUGGCGGAGACAGAGACAAAUUAGCAAGAAGACAGCAGAAACUGGAGUCUCAAUCACAAUAGGACACAGGUGAGCCUGAGAUGACGCUAAUAUCAUUCUCCUGGAAUAUGGCUUCCCAACACAAGCACCAUCACCUUCAUCAUCAUCAUCAUCAUCAUCAUCAUCAUCAUCAUCACAGCGAUGACUUGCCCAAGAUCACACAGUUGUUAAGCUGCUGAGCAGGGAUUUGAAUCUGACUCGAACCUAACUACUCACCUGUGGUUAUAUACUCGUAAUUAUAUAUACAUUAAAGUCUCAUUGUGAAUUCUAAGCUGUGUCUAACAUAACACCAAUUGUACAAUAGGUGCUCAAUAAUGUGGCUGCCCUUUCCCACUUUAGGGAAACUCAAUAUGUAAAACUCUAAAGUGGGCAAGGAAAUUAACUAAGGGUCAUUGCCUGCAAUGUACAAGAAAAAAAAAAAAACAACGAGGAGGAAAAAAAAAAGAACGAGGAAACUCCCAACGAUGCACAAAUGCCGUUUGUUCAGAGAUCAUGAACUCACCAAGAGUCUUCAGAAACUAGAGAAAAUUCAACCUAAGGUGUUCAGUGCCAUCUCCUGUUGAAGAUAAAUUCAAUGUAAAAGCAGAUCUCGGCUCUGAAAAUAUCCCUGGGAACACUAGCAUUAAUGUACAUUAUUGCAUAACCAGGUUGUAAAAAUUUCAUUUUCCCUCAACUUCUGGGGAAGGGUGUACCUACUACUACUUAAUGUUAGCAGACUUUUUUCUUUGUUUCUAUUUCUACUAUAACAAUAUUAUUAAAACAUAAAAUUAGGAAAAGAAUCAUUGAGGCCAAGGCUACUCGCUCUGCACGGCAUCUGAUAUUAUUCCAUCCUUGACAUCAUUGCCUUUUCUACUUUUGGGUUUUUAUUUUAUUUUUACCUCUCCUGCUCUGUUUGGGGAUGUGAAUUCCCCCAAAAGCUCAGGAGCCAGGCACUCCUGGCUACAGAAGCCAAAUAGAUUUUAACCCAGCCUGAACUUUUGAGGUAAGCCACCAAAACACCCUUCUCCUAGGCAAAAUGCUUUUUUCUUUCCUGUAAGUCUACUGCAGAAAUUACAUUUUAAAAUAUUGAAAAGAGAAACAUAUUUUCCCACAAUCCCACCACUCUAACCCGGUAACUACCUUUCUUUUCUUUUUUUGUGUGUGUUGGUCGCAAGUCUCAUAUCUAUAAGUGCACGUAAGAGAACUGUAACUCUAGCAAACAUAGCAUUUCCAUUCGUUUUUCUCUUAAUGUUCUAUUAUUAUGCAGAUUUUUCCUAGGUCACUACAGUCUUCAUAUUCAUCAUUGUUUGAAAGAUGCCAAACGUUCCAUUGAGCAAGUGUUUCCAUUUUCCAUAAUGUUUCAAU